rnacentral:rRNA from 1 species
GAGUAACACGUGGGUAACCUGCCUGUAAGACUGGGACUCUCCUAGAAACCGGGGCUAAUACCGGAUGCUUGAUUGAACCGCAUGGUUCAAUCAUAAAAGGCGGCUUCGGCUGCCGUUCUUCAAAAGAGCCGCGGCGCAUUAGCUAGUUGGUGAGGUAACGGCUCACCAAGGCGACGAUGCGUAGCCGACCUGAGAGGGUGAUCGGCCACACUGGGACUGAGACACGGCCCAGACUCCUACGGGAGGCAGCAGUAGGGAAUCUUCCGCAAUGGACGAAAGUCUGACGGAGCAACGCCGCGUGAGUGAUGAAGGUUUUCGGAUCGUAAAGCUCUGUUGUUAGGGAAGAACAAGUACCGUUCGAAUAGGGCGGUACCUUGAUUUUUCCUAACCAGAAAGCCACGGCUAACUACGUGCCACCAGCCGCGGUAAUACGUAGGUGGCAAGCGUUGUCCGGAAUUAUUGGGCGUAAAGCGCGCGCAGGCGGUUUCUUAAGUCUGAUGUGAAAGCCCCCGGCUCAACCGGGGAGGGUCAUUGGAAACUGG